rnacentral:rRNA from 1 species
GAGUUUGAUCCUGGCUCAGAUUGAACGCUGGCGGCAUGCCUUACACAUGCAAGUCGAACGACGCUAGGGGCAACUCUAGCGAGUGGCGAACGGGUGAGUAAUACAUCGGAACGUGUCCUGUCGUGGGGGAUAACCAGUCGAAAGACUGGCUAAUACCGCAUGACCUCGCAAGAGAAAAGCGGAGGACCGCAAGGCUUCGCGCGAUUGGAGCGGCCGAUGUCGGAUUAGCUAGUUGGCGGGGUAAUGGCCCACCAAGGCGACGAUCCGUAGCUGGUUUGAGAGAACGACCAGCCACACUGGGACUGAGACACGGCCCAGACUCCUACGGGAGGCAGCAGUGGGGAAUUUUGGACAAUGGGGGCAACCCUGAUCCAGCCAUGCCGCGUGUGUGAAGAAGGCCUUCGGUUGUAAG